rnacentral:rRNA from 1 species
UUGGCGACGGGUGAGUAACGCGUGGGUAACCUGCCUUACACAGGGGAUAACACUUAGAAAUAGGUGCUAAAACCGCAUAAGCGCACAGCUUCGCAUGAAGCGGUGUGAAAAACUCCGGUGGUGUAAGAUGGACCCGCGUCUGAUUAGCUUGUUGGCGGGGUAACGGCCCACCAAGGCGACGAUCAGUAGCCGGCCUGAGAGGGCGGACGGCCACAUUGGGACUGAGACACGGCCCAGACUCCUACGGAAGGCAGCAG